CACCCAGGACGGUGGAUCACUCGGCUCGUGGGUCGAUGAAGAGCGCAGCAAAUUGCGCGUCGACAUGUGAACUGCAGGACACAUGAACAUCGACGUUUCGAACGCACAUUGCGGUCCAUGGAUUCCGUUCCCGGGCCACGUCUGGCUGAGGGUCGGCU
rnacentral:rRNA from 1 species